CGGGGACCCGCACAAGCGGUGGAGCAUGUGGUUUAAUUCGAAGCAACGCGAAGAACCUUACCAAAUCUUGACAUCCUUUGACAACUCUAGAGAUAGAGCUUUCCCCUUCGGGGGACAAAGUGACAGGUGGUGCAUGGUUGUCGUCAGCUCGUGUCGUGAGAUGUUGGGUUAAGUCCCGCAACGAGCGCAACCCUUAAGCUUAGUUGCCAUCAUUAAGUUGGGCACUCUAAGUUGACUGCCGGUGACAAACCGGAGGAAGGUGGGGAUGACGUCAAAUCAUCAUGCCCCUUAUGAUUUGGGCUACACACGUGCUACAAUGGACAAUACAAAGGGCAGCGAAAUCGUGAGGUCAAGCAAAUCCCAUAAAGUUGUUCUCAGUUCGGAUUGUAGUCUGCAACUCGACUACAUGAAGCUGGAAUCGCUAGUAAUCGUAGAUCAGCAUGCUACGGUGAAUACGUUCCCGGGUCUUGUACACACCGCCCGUCACACCACGAGAGUUUGUAACACCCGAAGCCGGUGGAGUAACCUUUUAGGAGCUAGCCGUCGAAGGUGGGACAAAUGAUUGGGGUGAAGUCGUAACAAGGUAGCCGUAUCGGAAGGUGCGGCUGGAUCACCUCCUUUCUAAGGA
rnacentral:rRNA from 1 species